AAUUGUAUAGUGUAUAUUCACGUAAGAUUUUGAGCCUUAAAAUACUUAUCUAUAC
rnacentral:tRNA from 1 species